UACACUCCUACGGGAGGCAGCAGUGGGGAAUUUUGGACAAUGGGCGAAAGCCUGAUCCAGCAAUGCCGCGUGAGUGAAGAAGGCCUUCGGGUUGUAAAGCUCUUUUGUCAGGGAAGAAACGGUGAGAGCUAAUAUCUUUUGCUAAUGACGGUACCUGAAGAAUAAGCACCGGCUAACUACGUGCCAGCAGCCGCGGUAAUACGUAGGGUGCAAGCGUUAAUCGGAAUUACUGGGCGUAAAGCGUGCGCAGGCGGUUUUGUAAGUCUGAUGUGAAAUCCCCGGGCUCAACCUGGGAAUUGCAUUGGAGACUGCAAGGCUAGAAUCUGGCAGAGGGGGGUAGAAUUCCACGUGUAGCAGUGAAAUGCGUAGAUAUGUGGAGGAACACCGAUGGCGAAGGCAGCCCCCUGGGUCAAGAUUGACGCUCAUGCACGAAAGCGUGGGGAGCAAACAGGAUUAGAUACCCGAGUAGUCCCAUGA
rnacentral:rRNA from 1 species